rnacentral:rRNA from 1 species
UACGUAGGGGGCGAGCGUUGUCCGGAGUUACUGGGCGUAAAGCGCACGCAGGCGGUCUGCUAAGUUUGGAGUGACAGUUGGUGGCUUAACUGCCAAAGUGCUUCGAAAACUGACAGACUUGAGGGCUUCAGAGGGACACGGAAUUCCGGGUGGAGUGGUGAAAUGCGUAGAGAUCGGAAAGAACACCAACGGCGAAAGCACUCUGCUGGGCCGACACUGACACUGAGAGACGAAAGCUAGGGGAGCGAAUGGG